rnacentral:rRNA from 1 species
GACGAACGCUGGCGGCGUGCUUAACACAUGCAAGUCGAGCGGUAAGGCCCUUUCGGGGGUACACGAGCGGCGAACGGGUGAGUAACACGUGGGUGACCUGCCCUCAGCUCUGGGAUAAGCCUGGGAAACCGGGUCUAAUACUGGAUAUGACUCCAUGACGCAUGUUGUGGGGUGGAAAGCCUUGUGCGGCUGAGGAUGGGCCCCGCGGCCUAUCAGCUUGUUGGUGGGGUGANGGCCUACCAAGGCGACGACGGGUAGCCGGCCUGAGAGGGCGACCGGCCACACUGGGACUGAGACACGGCCCAGACUCCUACGGGAGGCAGCAGUGGGGAAUCUUGCGCAAUGGGCGAAAGCCUGACGCAGCGACGCCGCGUGA